CCUACGGGAGGCAGCAGUGGGGAAUAUUGCACAAUGGGCGCAAGCCUGAUGCAGCCAUGCCGCGUGUGUGAAGAAGGCCUUCGGGUUGUAAAGCACUUUCAGCGGGGAGGAAGGCGGUGAGAUUAAUAACCUCAUCGAUUGACGUUACCCGCAGAAGAAGCACCGGCUAACUCCGUGCCAGCAGCCGCGGUAAU
rnacentral:rRNA from 1 species